rnacentral:lncRNA from 1 species
ACGGUGGUAGUGCGCAAGGUGGCCGAUGGUUGGCCUAGAGGUUCGGCAGCACACCUGGGGGGCUGAGUUGCGGCUGAAGGUUGAUUGCUGAAAAAUUUUGAAAUAGUUGGGCUAGGGUUUUGGUAUUGGUUUGGGCUUGUUUUGUUUAAUGGGCUUUAGGGGUUUUUUUUUUAUUAGGGUAGGUUAGUUAUUGGGUUUUGGGGAUGGCCCAAAAUUGGCCUGUACAGCUGCCCCUCUUUGCUCAUUGUCGUGUAACGGGAAUGGAGCAAAGACAUAAUGAAAGGCCAAUUUUGCCUGGUCUUGCUGGGUCUUGACUUCAUUGGUGCUCUUCUAGUUCAAAUAAUCUUCUUCCAGUCCAUUGCGUCUUGUAGCUUUAGAUUCAAUUCACGGCAACUUCAGAUACGCCUUGUAGCUUCAAUCUACUUUGUUACGACUCCAUGGGGAUGAGAUUUGUGUUUUUAGUCUGCUCCACUACUGCUUAGGGAGAUAAGACUGGAUGUGAUCUACUCCGCUACUGCUUAAGGGAAUAAGAUCUGUAAUCUUUACUCUAUUCCACUAUUGAAUGCAGGGAGAUAGAGUCUGUUUUUCAAUCCACUUCCUACCAAUAUAGGAAGGCAGGAUCUGCUAUCUUCGAUCUAUUUCACAUCCAUAUAUAAAAAAUAAGAUCUGCUUUCUUCGAUUUAAUUCGCCAUCAAUAUGGGAAGACAAGAUCUGCAUCUUGGAUCUACUUCCUAUCAAUGUAGGAAGAUAGGACCUGCUAUCUUCGAUCUACUUCGCGCCAAUACAUGAAGACAAGAUCUGCGUCGUCGAUCCACUUCCUACCCAUAUAGAAAGGUAGGACCUGCUAUCUUCGAUCUACUUCACGCUAAUACAUGAAGACAAGAUCUACUUUCUGUGAUCUACUUCGCCACCAAUAUGGGAAGAUAAGAUCUGCAUCUUCGAUCCACUUCCUACCAAUAUAGGAAGAUAGGACCUGCUAUCUUCGAUCUACUUCACGCCAAUACAUGAAGACAAGAUUUGCUUUCUGUGAUCUACUUCGCCACCAAUAUGGGAAGACAAGAUCUGCAUCUUCGAUCCACUUCCUACCAAUAUAGGAAGAUAGGACCUGCUAUCUUCGAUCUACUUCACGCCAAUACAUGAAGACAAGAUCUGUUUUCUGCGAUCUACUUCGCCACCAAUAUGGGAAGACAAGAUCUGCAUCUUCGAUCCACUUCCUACCAAUAUAGGAAGAUAGGACCUGCUAUCUUCGAUCUACUUCACGCCAAUACAUGAAGACAAGAUCUGUUUUCUGCGAUCUACUUCGCCACCAAUAUGGGAAGACAAGAUCUGCAUCUUCGAUCCACUUCCUACCAAUAUAGGAAGAUAGGACCUGCUAUCUUCGAUCUACUUCACGCCAAUACAUGAAGACAAGAUCUGUUUUCUGCGAUCUACUUCGCCACCAGUAUGGGAAGACAAGAUCUGCAUCUUCGAUCCACUUCCUACCAAUAUAGGAAGAUAGGACCUGCUAUCUUCGAUCUACUUCACGCCAAUACAUGAAGACAAGAUCUGUUUUCUGCGAUCUACUUCGCCACCAAUAUGGGAAGACAAUAUCUGCAUCUUUGAUCCACUUCCUACCAAUAUAGGAAGAUAGGACCUAUUUACGCCUAGUGUUUAGGAUGACAUGAUCAGAAUGAAUCAAAUGCUCCUAACUAGAUGUGUAUGAAUGAUAUUUGUAGAAUGUCAUGAGAAUGAUCCAUUUUUAAUGCUUAGGUUGUCAUUCCUCAUUGUUCAUCAAGGUUCCAUCACUGAUGCCUUCUUGUUCAGCCAGUACCUUUGACAGAAAACCUAAAGAAAUAGACGCUAUUUAGACUAUCAUUUCUGAAAUGUUUCCAACCCUUAGGUUUGGUUAGUUCUAAACAAUAGUCCUGUUUCAGGUCCUCGUAUUAUUUAGAAACUUUCAGAGUAAUAUGCAGAACUCCUUCUGCAUGUGUAUUGUCAGUCCAUUAAUCGUUAUUUCAAUGAAAAAUGCUUGAGAAAGAUUAUCAAAAUGGACAAAAUGAAAUUUUGUUGAGAGCAAAUCUCUAAACAAACAAAUCAAGAUAGCAAAUUUUGCUGAGAUAUGAGAUGAAUAAGAUGAAAAAGAUUAUCACAAUGAAUAAGAUGGAACUUUAUUGAGAGCAGAGCUCUAAAUGAACAAAUAGCAAAUUUUGCUAAGAUGUAAAUAAGAUAAAAAAAAAGGUGCCCCAGAUAUCGUAGCAUGAGCUUCUCUGCCCCAAACUUCUUAAGGACCCUUUUGAACUUGAUAUGUGUUUAGAAGUCCUAGAAGGCUUUGUUGAUGCCCCAAGAUGUAGCAUCUUUCCUUCUUGUUAAUUCGAAGAAGACAAAACUACUUUAUGCCUCAUCUUUGAUUAAAAAUUUGAAUUGCCCAUUCCUGGGUUUUCAAUUCAAAACCCCUUUGGUUUCAAGGUGCCCUUUGCGGGUUUUCGCCUUGGCCUCUCCUUUUUUUUUUUUUUUUUUUUUUAGGCAAAGUACCUCUUCACUGAAUCUGAAUUCACAGGAUUGGGCAAGCUUUUGCCAUCCAUCCCAGUUAGAAUUAAUGCCCCUCCUGAAAAGGCCUUUUUUACUACAUAAGGUCCCUCCCAGUUUGGCAUCCACUUUCCUCUGAAGUCUUUUUGCAUGGGAAGGAUCUUCUUCAGUACCAAGUCCCCUUCAUGGAAGUUUCUAGGACGAACUUUCUUAUUGUAAGCUCGCAUCAUUCGUUUCUGGUAUAUUUGACCAUGACGGAUAGCUCUUAACCUCCUUUCUUCAAUCAAGUUCAGCUGAUCAUAUCGGGAUUGGACCCAUUCUGCUUCGUCUAACUUUAGUUCUGAAAAAACUCGGAGGGAGGGAAUUUCAACCUCAAUUGGUAGCACUGCCUCCAUUCCAUAAACCAAAGAGAAUGGUGUUGCCCCGGUAGAAGUCCUGACGGACGUUCGAUAAGCAUAGAGGGCGAAUGGCAACUUCUCGUGUCAAUCUCUAUAGGUUUCAGUCAUUUUUCCCACAAUCUUUUUGAUAUUUUUAUUGGCUGCCUCCACCGCACCAUUCAUCUUCGGACGAUAUGGCGAUGAGUUGUGGUGCUUGAUCUUGAAUUGAUUACAAACCUCUGCUAUCGUGCUAUUAUUCAAAUUUAAUGCAUUGUCUGAUAUGAUCCUUUCAGGCAUUCCAUACCGACAUAUGAUUUCCUUCUUUAAAAACUUGCUGACAACUGUCUUUGUGACGUUGGCGUAAGAAGUAGCCUCUACCCACUUAGUAAAGUAGUCAAUCACUACAAAACUGAAACGAUGUCCGUUUGAAGCCUUUGGCGAUAUCGGCCCAAUGACGUCCAUGCCCCACAUGGAGAAAGGCCAUGGGGAAGUCAUGACGUGAAGAGGUGAUGGAGGCACAUGAAUUUUGUCUCCGUAAAUCUGGCAUUUAUGGCACUUCUUGGCAUAUUUGAUGCAGUCUCCUUCCAUGGUAGACCAAUAAUAUCCAAAUCUCAUGAUCUGUCUGGCCAUUGUGAAACCGUUAGCGUGUGUUCCACAAAUACCAUUAUGGACUUCUUCCAAGAUCUGCUUGGCCUCCACAGCGUCCACACAUCUUAACAGCACCUGAUCUUUUCCUCUUUUGUACAGGAUCUCUCCAUCUAAGACGUAAUCACUGGCCAGCCUCCUCAACAUUCUCUUGUCAUUCUCAGUUGCUUGGUUUGGGUAUUCACGAUUUUUUACGUAUCGCAAUAUAUCCUGAUACCAAGGGUUGUCGUCCUUUUCUUCUUCUUCGUCAAUGUUACAACAGUGGGCUGGAGCAUCAUAAAUGCUCAUUUGGAUAGGCUUCACAUCCUCUGGUCUAUUUACUUUGAUCAUGGAAGCCAAUGUAGCUAAAGCGUCGGCCAUCUGAUUCUCGUCUCGUGGGAGAUAACAAAAAGUGAUGUCGUCAAACUCCUCAAUCAAUUCUAGGACUAUCCUUCGGUAACUAAUCAACUUAGGGUCUCUUGUUUCCCAUUCGCCUUUGAGCUGAUAAAUUACCAAUGCCGAAUCCCCAUAUACCUCAAGUACCUUGAUUUUGCGUUCCAUAGCCGCGCGGAUUCCCAUGAUACAUGCUUCAUAUUCCGCCAUGUUAUUUGUGCAAUCAAAAUCUAGUUUACUGGUGAAAGGAUAAUGAUCACCGUUUGGAGAUACCAAGACUGCCCCAAUCCCGUUGCCCAUGGCAUUUGAGGCUCCGUCAAAAUUUAAUUUCCAAGUAUUGCCUUCUUGUGUGCUCGCUUCAGUAGUUGCCACAUACAUCAGAUCCUCGUUUGGAAAGUCAAAGUUCAAAGGCUCAUAAUCGUCCAGGGCUCUACUUGCUAGAAAAUCUGCUAUCGCGCUCCCUUUUACAGCCUUUUGAUUCACAUAGGUUAUGUCAAAUUCAGAUAGUAGAAUUUGCCAUCGGGCCAUCCUUCCGUUUAGAGCAGUUGACUCCAUCAUGUAUUUCAGAGGGUCUAACUUUGAGAUUAACCAAGUCGUAUGGUACAACAUGUAUUGUCUCAAUCUCCGAGUAGUCCAAACCAAUGCGCAACAUAAUUUUUCAAUUGGCGAAUAUCUCGUUUCGCAUUCAGUGAACUUCUUACUGAGAUAAUAGAUCGCUCUUUCUUUUCGUCCUGACUCAUCAUGUUGGCCGAGCACGCACCCCAUGGAAUUCUCAAAUACUGCCAAGUAUAGUAUCAAUGGUUUGUCAGGGCAAGGUGGCAUCAGUACUGGGGCGUUGGACAAGUAAUGUUUAACUCUUUCGAAAGUUUUCUGGCACUCCUCAUCCCAUACACCUGGAUUGUGUUUCCUAAGAAGACGGAAUAUGGGGUCACAUUUCUCAGUUAAUUGUGAAAUGAAUCGAGCGAUGUAAUUUAGUCUUCCUAGGAAACCCCGAACUUCUUUUUGAGUACUUGGCGGAGGUAAUUCUUGUAUGGCCUUAACUUUGUCUGGGUCAAUUUCAAUUCCCUUUUCGCUGACUAAGAAUCCUAGCAAUUUUCCUGAUCUAGCCCCGAAAGUACACUUGGCUGGGUUAAGUUUUAGCUGGAACUUCCUUAACCUCAGAAACAGUUUUCUCAGAACUUGCACGUGUUCCCUUUCUGUUCUGGAUUUUGCGAUCAUGUCAUCAACAUAAACUUCUAUCUCUUUAUGCAUCAUAUCAUGGAAUAAUGCUACCAUGGCUCUCUGAUACGUUGCUCCCGCAUUUUUCAAUCCAAAAGGCAUCACUUUAUAACAAAACGUCCCCCACAUCGUUAUGAAUGUGGUCUUCUCCCUGUCUUCAGAAAGCAUCUUAAUUUGGUUGUACCCGGAGAAACCAUCCAUGAAAGAGAACAGUCAGUAUCCGGCCGUGUUGUCUACCAAUGUAUCGAUAUGAGGCAGUGGGAAAUUAUCUUUUGGGCUGGCUUUGUUCAAGUCUCUGUAGUCCACACACAUUCGCACCUUCCCAUCUUUCUUAGGAACAGGGACUAUAUUGGCUACCCAUUCUGAGUACUUGACCACCUGUAAGAAACCAGCAUCGAAUUGCUUCUUGACUUCUUCCUUUAUUUUUAGCAAGACAUCAGGCCUCAUCCUUCGAAGCUUUUGUUGGACUGGUUUGCAUUCUUCCUUUAUAGGCAAUCGGUGCACCACAAUAUCAGUACUUAAACCUGGCAUAUCUUGGUAGGACCACGCGAAGACAUCUUUAAACUCUUGAAGCAACUCAACAAGGUCUCGCCUUGUUUCCUUGGCAAUGCAAGCGCCAACUUUUACCUCUCUACCCUCUUCUAAGAUCACGACUUCUACUGAUUCCUUAUAGGGUAGAAUUUGUUUUUCUUCUUCUUCCAUCAUUCUUAACAAAUCCGGAGAUAAAACGCUGUCUUGGUCACCUUCAAAAUCUUGAGGAUUAUCUAUACUCAUGUAUUGCUCAAAUAGAGACUCUGAAUUAGUAACAGAGUCGCUCAUCUCGUUGAUAUCUGAAGACCUGUUAUUGGAACAAAUGGAGGCCCAAAUAAAAGAAUCUAAGAAUACUUGUAUGCAUACUAUGAUUAUAAAGGGAAUGAAAAGAAUGAAAGAAUAUUUGCUCAAGAUGAAACUGAAUGAUAAGUUUUCACUGAAAUUAGAUUUUGGACAUGUGCCUUUUACAAAAGAUUCUUAUCACCCCCAGGCUUAGGGCAACAAGUGUUCUGAAUAUUACUCUAAAUUAGUUCUAAAUGUUACAGGGAUCUCUUCUGCAGUCCAGUUAUUCAGAACACUUCCAGGUUCGUAAGGACGAAUGCCCGAUAAAUUCCUUUCCACCCUUUCUUCCGCGGAUAUGGCAUUGAUGUCCAACCUCUCAAUCCUUCCUUCUGUAACCUCAUCCUUCUCUUCAGGGUGGACAAUUCCCCCUGAAACAAAGGUCUUAGAUAUAAGAGGAAAGGUUAUCGGUCCCCACUUGGCUUCUAUCCCGCCCAAAUGUGCUCUUCUCCUUUCUUGCUUUUUCUCCAUCUCCUUCCUCCUUUCCCUCGCAUUAGGCUUAUAUCCCAAACCAUAACGAUCCUGUUUGUUAACUGGGAUCGGUACUCCAACCCUCCCCUGGAGGUAUUUUCCCAAUCCUCUUCCAGGCAAUGCUCCCUUUCCCAUCGUUAGCUGUAAGCUCAUUGACGUAGCUUUGGAUAUCUUAGGUUCUGGGAUUUUGCUCAUCUCGAUGACAAAUGUGGCAUUUACGAAUUCCAAUGAUCGGAAUGAACAUUCUAUCGCUUCACUAUCAGCCUCUAUGUAUGGCAUAUCAUCGGUGACUGAUGCAAUGAUGUCUUCUUCUGCACCUAUAGUCACCAAUCUACCCUCUAUCACCAACUUUAACUUUUGAUGAAGUGACGAUGGUACAGCUCCUGCAGAAUGGAUCCAAGGCCUCCCCAAUAGGCAAUUGUAAGAUGGUUUAAUAUCCAUUACCAAAAAGUCCACCUCGUAUGUAUUUGGACCAAUCAAUAGAGGUAUCUCGAUUCUCCCCAUCACUUUUCUCUCAGUGCCAUCGAAUGCUCUCACUAUAUUUUGGCAUGAUUUCAUGUGAGAACUAUCCACAGGUAACCUGUUUAAUGUGGACAGGGGUAAAACAUUCAAGGCCGAUCCAUUGUCCACGAGUACCGCCGGUAGUAUACACCCCUUACAACGGGCAGUGAUGUGCAAGGCCUUGGUAGAUCCCAUACCACCUGGCGGGAUCUCAUCAUCGUUGAAGAAGAUGAAAUCAUCGGCAUUUAUAUUGUUAACCAGGCGAUCCAAUUUGUUCACUGAGAUAUUUUUAGCGACAUAGGUCUCAUUUAGCACUUUUACCAACGCAUUACGAUGUAUCUCUGAACUUAGAAGUAACUCGAGCACUGAGAUGCGAGCGGGUUGCUUAUGCAAUUGUUCCACCACGCUAUACUCGCUAUGCUUCAAGAAUUUUAGGAAUUCUCUAGCCUCGUUUUCGGUCACCGGUGUGUUAAUUUGCGGUUCAAUUCUGGUCGUCUUCGUUUUAUUUUGUUCAACCGCCAAGGCUUUUCCUUUUAUAAGUUCCCUUUUUGUAUUUCCCAGGUCGUAACGUUUUCCACUACGCGUAUAGAAACCUGCGUCAUUAGCCUCUUCUGAAGCAUUUAUCGGGUUCUCCUCUCCCGUGAUCAUCACAUUGCAGUCGUAAUUCCAAGGAACCUUUUUGCUAUCCUUGUAAAGAAAGGCUACAGGUUUUUGGAUUAUGACCCUUGGCGCCAGUUGUAUUCCAGAUCCUGUACUCGUUGGCCUUGAAAUAAUUACCACUGGGUGAUUUGGGGCCUUUCCCGUAGGCCCCUCCUCCGAGGCAUAAACUUCUCCAUUUUCAAGUCCUUUGAUCUCUUCAUAAAAUUCUAGCUCUUUGUUGUCCAUCAGAUUUUGCACCAUGGCCUUGAAUUCAGUGCAGUUUCGAAUGUCAUGGUCUUCUUCAGCAUGAAACUCGCAGUACGUCUUCGUUCCUUCGGGCCUUUCUUUUGAAUCUUGUUUGAUGAGACCUCCUUCUAUUAUUUGUCUCCGACCCAACUAAUGGGGUUUUUAUCUCUGCAAUGUCGGUUUUGAUUCUCUUUUUCUCACCUUCGAUUAUUGCGUUUACCCCUUUAUCAGCAUGGUUGGGUAACGGAUUCGCUGCUACGUUGGGUCCUAAUGGGUCGUCAAACUUCACAAUCCCCAUCUUAAUGAACCUUUCCACCGCCUUUUUAAACCCAGUACAGUUCUCAAUUGAGUGUCCUGGUAUCCCUGCAUGGUAUUCACAUUGGGCAUUCGUGUCAUACCAUUUGGGAUAUGGAGGUUGCAUGGGCUCGAGAUAAAAUGGAGAUACUAUGUGUGCAUCAAAUAACUUCUGAUACAGUUCCCCGUAUGUUAUUGGAAUGGGCGUGAAUUGAAGUCUCUCUGUGUUGGCCCUUGUGUUGGGCCUUGUGUUGGGUUCCUGCCUCGAGGGGGCUUGGUGACUAGUGGUUAUCAUUUUUGGAGGGCCAACAGUAAUCGGUUUUGAAUGGCUCUUGCUAUAUGUGCUUACGUUGUUUACUUCGCCCUCCUUUUUCCUUGGGGCUGGUCUUUUGAAGCUUUCUCCCGUGUCGAUUUUACCGCUCCUUACCGCGUUCUCAAUCAUUUCACCGGACAUUACCAUAUCCGAGAAGCUCUUGGUAGCACUCCCCAACAUGUGGUUGAUGAACGGGGCUUUCAAAGUGUUGAUAAACAACAUGGUGACCUCUUUUUCCAAAAGGGGUGGCUGGACUUGUGUUGCCACUUCUCUCCAUCGUUGGGCGUACUGCCUGAAAUUCUCGCUAGGCUUUUUCUCCAUGUUUUGUAACGUAAUUCGAUCGGGUGUUAUAUCCGUUACAUGACUGUAUUGCUUCAUAAAAGCUUGCGCCAAGUCUCUCCAUGAAUUAACUUUAGCACGACUCAGUUGGUUGUACCAUUUGGCUGCAGAUCCGAUCAAACUGUCCUGGAAGCAGUGGAUUAAUAGGUGAUCAUUGUUGACGUAUCCUGUCAUUCUUCGACAGAACAUAGUUAUAUGAGCUUCAGGACAACUAGUCCCAUUAUAUUUUUCGAAUUCCGGCAUUUUGAACUUAGGUGGGAGUACUAAAUCAGGGACCAAACUCAGAUCCUUGGCGUCAACCCCGCGAUGAUAGUCGAUGUUCUCCAUGACUCUAAAUUUUUCCUCUAACCAUCUACAUCGGUCCUCCAGCUGUUUUGGCAGGUUUAUUCUUGUUUUUUCUGUUUCUGCCACAUCAUCGAGGUCCGGGACCACAGGAUUAGUGGGAUUAUCCCCGGGAUUAGAACCCGAGCCCAUUUGAAAAUGCAAUGGUACCGAGGCACCAGCCAGAUAUUGAGGUCUAAUGGUAACCGGUACCCUCUGUGGGUACACCUCUGGUUGUGCUUGAAUGUUAGUUGGGGUGAAACCUGGAGGAUAAAUAGGGUCAUCGUGAUCUUCCCCCGCAUCGACUACGGGGUCUUUUCCUUUGUUAUUUCCUUCAGCCAAUAACUGCUUUAAUUGGUUCAUCACAGUGUUCUGGGAUUCUAACAUGUCUUGCUGGAUUUUUUCCAGUCGUUCAUGCAUCUGACCUUGCAUCUCUCGUUGCAACUGUUCCAAUCUUUCCAACCUUUGAUCCAUUACUUUUGUUUGGCGACGAGUACCGUAGUGAUAUUUAAUUAGAUUUUUGUUGGUUUCCAGGGUAACUGUCAUAAUUUUAAUUUUAUUAGGGUCAUUUUAUGAAACUUAUUGCAUAUGAUGUAAUGCAAAUGUAUGAGAUGAAUGCAAAAAGAGGCAUUGAUUCGAAUUCAAUUUCAUUAGAAAACUCAACUAGAAAGCAAAUUUCUUUACAUAAAAUAAAUUACAUAUACGGCCUCGCCUUUAUACCCAAGGCCUUAACCUUCCUAAGAAGCCAAGCUAAAUCUCGACCUCGGCUUGAUUCUGACUCAUAUUUUAAACUCAAUACAUCGGCCUGAACUGCUAAUGUUUGCAGAUGAUCAGCCACUUCCCGCACUUGAGUCACAGCUUCGCCCAUAACGUAAUCUCUAUCUCUAAUCUGCCUUUGAGAAUGAUGGAAUUGCUCUUGCCAUUGAUCAUUACUCCUCUCAAGAAGCUCCAUUCGUAGCUCAGAAUUGUGUAAUGCGUCCUCAAGCUCCUCUACCUUUUCCUUCAGUUCUUCGAUCUUAUUUAAGCUUGCUCUUAAUUCGAUCAUGGAGUUGCGACUACGGUACGAGUGAAGUGACUUUUCUAGCUCUGCCACCUUGGCCUUUAAUCCUGCCUUCUCAUUUCGGCACUCUAACAAACUCCUUUCCAAAGUGUUUUCUCGAGCUCGAGUAUCUUGAAAUUUCUUUUCCCACUGAUCGGCCAUAUUCUUUUCCUCAUUGAUCUCUUGUCGCCACUGCUCUGACGUUUUGCCCAGACCGGCAGUUCUCAUCGACAAUCGCAGCUUCUUGUAAUCUGUUUUUAGACUAUCCAAAUCCUCUUCAGCUUUGUUCUUUCCCUUCCUUAAUUUCUCGGCUUCUAGCUUGUGGAUAUCGAUGUCUAAUCCCAAAUGCACUCUUUCUUCUUCUAACUGUUCUAUCCUCUUUCCCAACUCAGAAUUUCUUUUCUCAAAGUCUCGUUUGAUGAUCUCUAACUCUGACGGAACUACUUGUAGAUGCUCCUCUAUAGACUGAACGCAAUCUUCCCUCGGCUUAGGGAUGUUGUCAUUGACUCUUUUACUCCACCACCCAUAAUAUUCUGAAGUUGUCAUCGCUCCUACGGUGAAUCUUUUCAUUUGGUGAACCUGUUUCCAAGCGUUAGAUAUUUCUCGAGUUUUUCUCUUGUAGUUUUCAUCCUUAUAAGAAAACUCACAUUGAGCCAGCCCUUGUGUUGCUGGUAUGAACUGUCUCGAUCUAUAUUGUCUUAAUACGAGUAAAGGGGCAUAACCGAUAGCUCCCCAAAUUCCGAGUAAAGGGACCCAGUCGAAAUCCCCACAUCGAUACAGGAUCUCGUCGGGUACCAUCCAAGGAGCUUUCCAUUCAACGUCAUCCUCCUGAAGAUUUCGGAGAAUCGUCAUCCACUUCUCUUCCGUGAUGUCGUCUCGUCUUGGUGUAGCAACUUGUUCCUUCAAUGGGGAAUAGUCUUCUGAGAAGACUCGAUAGGAGACAUUUUCCACCUUCCAAAAGUGACUAUGGAACCACACCAAUAGUAGCUGUGCGCAUCCGAUGAACCUUCCCUCCCCUGCUCUUCGACAUGCGCUUAGAGAUCUGAAGGUUUCUGCUAAGAUUGCCGGGAUGGGCGUGACUCCUUUACUAAGCCGAUCGAACAAAUCAGAGACGGCCUCAUCUACGUGCCCUAAAGCUCUAGGGAAAAUUACCAAACCAUAGAUACCUAGAGCGAAGACAUCCACUCUUUUCUUCACAUCGGGGUGUGCUAAUACUAAAUCUCGCAAGCUUUUCCAAGGAACGCAUUUACUGUCUCCUUUCUGUUGCAUCCGGGCAGCGACCCACUGUUCGCUCAUCCCUGUAAUGCUCACCAAUUUUUUUUAAUAAUGUCGGGACACUAGCAGCUCUAGAAUAGGCUUUGUCAAUUUGAAUCUUUGGACACCGAAGCAAGGUCGUAUAUUCUUCCACGGUGGGCACCAAGUCCACUUUUCCAAAAGUGAAACAACUGUAAGCAGGAUUCCAAAACUGGGCUAGGGCUCGGAAUAAAUGCUUGUCCACUUUGACACCAAGUAGGUGAGGCAAGUCCCCGUAAUCACAGUAAAACAUCUGCUUGGUCCCGUCGUCCCAUUGAUCCCAUAUUUCCUUCAUUUCUCGCAGAUCAUUUUGGACUACGCUGAUACGGGUGAAGUCCCAUAACUCUGAUACGUACCCUUCUGCAAGACUAUCGCCUUUCUCUCUCCACAUCGUCUCAGCCCAUAAUCGUACAGCUGCAUUGUCUUCUACUUUAUCAAAAAACCUCUUUUCCAUGAUAAGCUUUCUAUCUAUACUGAACGUGAAUCGACACCUCUUUUGAAAUGAAAAUGCCAUGCAAUCACAAACAAAGCAAAUUAGAUCUAGGAUUUAAAAUCAAUAAUAAAUAAAGCAUCUAUUCGGUAAGCACUAGGGUCUAGAAUAGCUCUAUCUCGGUGGGUUCUUAUGGCUCGCUAUGUGUGGUUUGGUUCUAAAGUGAGGGUACCUGAACCAGCAGAUUCCUCGAUCCUCACCCAUUAUAGGCUCAUAUGGACCGAGUUCAGUUCAGGGGAAUACAUUUCCCUAUGGCCAUGCGGAGAUGAAAAUCUCACGAAGACAUAGGUACGGAUGUAUCCCGGAAGCGAUUCACUAUCCCAUGCGGAGGUGAAAACCUCACGAAGGCGUAGUUUCUCACUCCCACUUAAAAGGUGUGACCAACGGUCAUGCAAUGGAAUGUGCGGAGGUAUAAAAUAAAAUACAGAACACGAUAAAAAUGUAACUCAAAACAAAAGAUGAGAGGAUCGUAAAUUUAAAUCGAAUUUUCAACUUUCGACAAAAAGACAAGAAAUAAUCAACACGUGGCUUGACUCUCUUAUCCUCCCCAGUGGAGUCGCCAAGCUGUUGACACCAUUUUUUUGAAAAUGGAGUCGACUUGGGUUUUGAAAAUAAAACGAAAAAUGGGAGUCGCCACCAAUCUUUUUUGAUGAGGUGUGAUCGGGUCACCUCGUAAAACGGUUGUUUUUAAUAAACGAUUUAGAUUUUAUUAAAACAACGAUUUUUUUGUCUACGAAAUUCAAAAAAAAAUGGGUUCGGGAGUCGGUUACGCACGAGGAAGGAUUAGCACCCUCGAUGCGCCCAAAAUUGGUACCUAGUUGAUUAAUUAGUGUCUUAGUGUCGAAAAUUGAAAAUUUGAAGAGUUUUAAAAAAAAAAUACGAUCCUUUAAAGAAACUCUGAUAACGUGAAUUGAAAUAUAAGAUUCUCUUGUUCCAAAGGAAUAUCACAUCCAGCACGUUAGGACACGAUACUCUAAACCAUCGAAACCAAGAUCAUCUUAUAGUUUAAUGAAACCAUACUUUGAAGAUCUAAGAGGAUAUUUGGCUAUUUAGUCGAACGAGAAAUCGAAACCCAGCACGUUAGGGCACGUUUUCUCGAACUUUCCAAACGCGAAAUAUUGCCUUAUUUUAAAACCUUACCCUUUUUGAAUGAUUGCAAGUACAAUACUCGAACGAGAUGCAUUUGUUUUAUUUAGGACAAAAUACAAUGAUUUAUUAUUGGAGAGUACAAAAUCGAGCGUAGCUUUGAAGUGAUGAAAUGAAAUUGAAUGAUAACGGAACAUGACAUAACAAUUUAUGAAUGAAAUGAUACAUCAAUGCAUGAUAAAUAUACACGGAUACAAAUAAGCAAAUUAUAGUACGCACAACGACAAUGAACACACAAUAUAUCUAAUUUAAAUACCAACAUUACUAAUCAAAGGAAAAUACAACAAAAUAUAAUAUAUAUAUAUAUAAAUAUAAAUGUAUAUACAACAAUCUAAAGUAAAUAGUAAUCCAAGAUGAGUGAUUUAUAAGAACGAUAUAUAAUAAAAGGUUCGAAUGAACAAUAUACAAGAAAACUUAAAAUGAAUGAAUAUAAAAAAAUUUAAAAUAAAUAAUAUUAUAUAUAAGAAAAAAAGUAUAAACAACUUUAAAGAAAAUGUACAUGCAUACGAAAAUUUAAAAGAAAAGAAAAGAAAAAUAUAUAAUGGUUUACAAUAAGUAAUAAAUAAAAACUUAAACAAACAAAGAUAAAAGAGUUUUUGUUUUUUUUUUUUUAAAUAAUAAUAAUGAACAAAUGAAUUGAAUGGACCUAGGACCAAAUUGAAAUUAAAACGAGAUUAAAUGACAUAAUUUAAAAAUAAAAAAAGGACAGUCGGGGCCCGAUCUAAACGCGCGCAGAGAUACAGGGUCAAAAGGGAAAUAUUCCCAUCUCAUCUGAAACAGCAUCGUUUCAGGGUACAUCUGCGCAUGGUCUAUGGACCAAAUUGAAGCAAAAGCAAUGUUUGCAGUCCAAAUCAGAACAUAGCAAAAGACCGUAUUGAGGUAAACCGCCAAGGGCAAGGGACCUAUUGCGCAAAUUACCCAUUAGGGCAAAGAGGCGCAGGUCACCCCCUUAAACGGCGCCGUUUUCGUCUUGCCAUUUAAACCCCAUAAAAUCUGUCAUACACAGCCCAUUUUUUUUAACCUAAAAACUAAACCCUCAUUCUCUCAACUCCAUUCCCCAUAUCCGGCUACUUGAGCCGCUGUCCGUGCAGUCAUGGCCGACAUCGGCGUCGCAUGAGGUCGUCUCCGAUCGGCGCGUUAAAGCGCGUUCAGAGACCAUACCCAUGGAAAGGGGAAACAAUGAGAGAAGAAGAAGACUUUGGGUCCCUCCCUAAACCCGCAACCGACGACGGCGGAGGGCCGAUAACGACGGUGGUUUUCAGGGCCGAUUCAGGUAGCUUCUUCCUUUCUUUUUUGCUAUUGAUUAUUUUUAAGAUAGAUUUGCAGAAAUAAAAAUAAAUAAAUAAAUAUGCAAAAUAUAAAAAGAAUGAAGAGAAAGCAAUUCAAAUCAACCUUUUUAAAACUUGUUUUCUGUUCUUUUGAUUCCAAUAUCUGUGUGUUCGUUUUUACAAGAAAAAAAAAUUUCCCCCUGGUAUCGGGUUCCUCCCCAAGGCUUUAUAGCCGAUUUCCUAUUGUUUCUGCUACCUCCUUUGCUGUUUGCACAUGGUUUUUGUCUUUUUGUGUCCUCUUUUCUUGCUUGUUUGCAGGCUUUGAGGGGUGUCAGACGCAUGGAGGAGAGGGGCAUGCGUGGACGGUGGUAGUGCGCAAGGUGGCCGAUGGUUGGCCUAGAGGUUCGGCAGCACACCUGGGGGGCUGAGUUGCGGCUGAAGGUUGAUUGCUGAAAAAUUUUGAAAUAGUUGGGCUAGGGUUUUGGUAUUGGUUUGGGCUUGUUUUGUUUAAUGGGCUUUAGGGGUUUUUUUUUUUAUUAGGGUAGGUUAGUUAUUGGGUUUUGGGGAUGGCCCAAAAUUGGCCUGUACAGGGUUAUUAUAUAUUAUGAUUAAUUGUGGGUAAUAAUAAUCAAAGUUGUCACUUGUCUAAAUUAUAACUAUUACUUACCCUAUGUUCUCUAAAACUUUGCUAUAUAUAAGAUUCAAAGUCAUAGCAUAGCCGAAAGAGCAGGAGUUACAAACUUGGAAUGCAUGCUUCCUUCAUAUCUCAUUACCUGAAUCAUCGCUCUGCUCACCACGCAGCAGUCGAUCGGCUGCACUCUGUGAAUCACAGUCACCUUCAAUCUGAUACUUGUUGUGUUGGGUGCCAUCAUCAUCUUUCUUCAUGAAAUGGAAACCCAUUAUAUACCUGUAUUCCCCAGUU